UGCUGAGCAUGUGCAAACUGAAACAUCAGUUAUCUUCACUGACCAUGAGGUCAGUUAAUUUUAAUAUAAUGCUGUGCAACAAGGUCUGUAGAAAGCUUUUGGAACAGAUGGAAGGCAGAGAGCAGGUCCUCCAGGACUCACAGCAAGGUAGUAUCUGGUCUCCUUAGCAGCGUCACCUUUUUGUGGAUGGAGUGAGUCAGGGCCCCAUUCCAGGCAGGUGGAAAUUGCCUGCAGUUUCUGUGGCCUCUCUGCUUGGAGGUCAGAGCUGAGUAGACUUUGCAAACUGUCCUGGUCCCCUUAAACUAGCCUGCUGCUUCAGAUGCAGCAAGGUUGCUACCCUGUUACUACUGUUGAAGUGAGGUUCAACUCAUGAUUUAGCCAGCUCUGCAACUGGAGUGGGGUGGGGGAUGGGGUGGACAUCUUAUCAUUUACCUCAGGCAGCAAAAUGUAUUGGACCAACACCCAUGUAGUAGACCAAUGGCCCUAACGUUUCUUUGUCUUGGUUUCUCGAGGAACUUAGUGCAAACAAAACCAACAGAGAUUUCUGCAUUAUUCCUUGAGCCCUGCUAACCUGCUAGAAUCGAGGACCAUUGGCUUUCUUCUUGAGUUCACAGGAGGCCAUUGUAUUUAUGCUCCAUUUGUUGACCCUGGGGCAAGGGGAAGACAUUUGGGACUAAGGACACAAUGGUGCCCCUUUACAGGAAAGGCUGCUAAGUUUACAAAGAAAAGGAACAACUCAUUCAGAAAUAUCAUAUCGAAAGAUCAUUUCAAUAAUUACUCAUGUUGAUGUAUCUUCUGAAAUAGCUCUACACUAGCAUUAGUUGUCAUAAAGUCAUUUCCUAAGAGCCAAAUUUCUAGAACAUCACCAAAGCUACAGAUGUGAAAAAUGAGAAUUCAGAACUGACCCAAAAUUUCUCAAAAGAGAUUUUUCUGGAAUAAAAAUCUGAGAAUAUUUUUGCCCCUUUCUGAAAUGGAGGGCAA